GCGCCCGUAGCUCAGUGGAUAGAGCGUGAGGUUGCGGACCUCAAGGUCGGGGGUUCAAGUCCCUCCGGGCGCGCCA
rnacentral:tRNA from 4 species